rnacentral:rRNA from 1 species
CGAGGGGAGUGAAAAAGAACCUGAAACCGUGUACGUACAAGCAGUGGGAGCACGCUUAGGCGUGUGACUGCGUACCUUUUGUAUAAUGGGUCAGCGACUUAUAUUCUGUAGCAAGGUUAACCGAAUAGGGGAGCCGAAGGGAAACCGAGUCUUAACUGGGCGUUAAGUUGCAGGGUAUAGACCCGAAACCCGGUGAUCUAGCCAUGGGCAGGUUGAAGGUUGGGUAACACUAACUGGAGGACCGAACCGACUAAUGUUGAAAAAUUAGCGGAUGACUUGUGGCUGGGGGUGAAAGGCCAAUCAAACCGGGAGAUAGCUGGUUCUCCCCGAAAGCUAUUUAGGUAGCGCCUCGUGAAUUCAUCUCCGGGGGUAGAGCACUGUUUCGGCAAGGGGGUCAUCCCGACUUACCAACCCGAUGCAAACUGCGAAUACCGGAGAAUGUUAUCACGGGAGACACACGGCGGGUGCUAACGUCCGUCGUGAAGAGGGAAACAACCCAGACCGCCAGCUAAGGUCCCAAAGUCAUGGUUAAGUGGGAAACGAUGUGGGAAGGCCCAGACAGCCAGGAUGUUGGCUUAGAAGCAGCCAUCAUUUAAAGAAAGCGUAAUAGCUCACUGGUCGAGUCGGCCUG